AGCUACAGGCUUAACACAUGCAAGUCGAGGGGCAGCAUUUUAGUUUGCUUGCAAACUGAAGAUGGCGACCGGCGCACGGGUGAGUAACACGUAUCCAACCUGCCGAUAACUCCGGAAUAGCCUUUCGAAAGAAAGAUUAAUACCGGAUAGCAUACGAAUAUCGCAUGAUAUUUUUAUUAAAGAAUUUCGGUUAUCGAUGGGGAUGCGUUCCAUUAGUUUGUUGGCGGGGUAACGGCCCACCAAGACUACGAUGGAUAGGGGUUCUGAGAGGAAGGUCCCCCACAUUGGAACUGAGACACGGUCCAAACUCCUACGGGAGGCAGCAGUGAGGAAUAUUGGUCAAUGGGCGAGAGCCUGAACCAGCCAAGUAGCGUGAAGGAUGAAGGCUCUAUGGGUCGUAAACUUCUUUUAUAUGGGAAUAAAGUUUUCCACGUGUGGAAUUUUGUAUGUACCAUAUGAAUAAGGAUCGGCUAACUCCGUGCCAGCAGCCGCGGU
rnacentral:rRNA from 1 species